CAUGAAGGCCCAAGCUUGAUGACUUUGCCUGAUUUUUCCGAGAGGUGGUGCAUGGCCGCCGUCAGUUCGUACCGUAAGGCGUUCUNUUAAGUCAGAUAACGAACGAGACCUCCGUCACCAUUUGCUAUUCUUCUCUCCGGAGAGGGAGCACUAUGGUGAUACCGCCAUUGUUAAAAUGGAGGAAGGAGGGGGCAACGGUAGGUCAGUAUGCCCCGAAUCUCCCGGGCUACACGCGCGCUACAAAGGGCAGGACAAUGGGCUUCGACACCGAAAGGUGAAGGCAAUCCCGAAACCUGCUCGUAAUUCGGAUUGAGGGCUGCAAUUCGCCCUCAUGAAGCUGGAAUACGUAGUAAUCGCGGGUCAACAUCCCGCGGUGAAUAUGCCCCUGCUCCUUGCACACACCGCCCGUCAAACCACCUUAGUUGGGUCUGGAC
rnacentral:rRNA from 1 species